rnacentral:rRNA from 1 species
AGAGUUUGAUCCUGGCUCAGGAUGAACGCUAGCGACAGGCUUAACACAUGCAAGUCGAGGGGCAGCAUAAAAGUAGCAAUACUUGGUGGCGACCGGCGCACGGGUGAGUAACGCGUAUGCAACCUACCUAUCAGAGGGGAAUAACCCGGCGAAAGUCGGACUAAUACCGCAUAAAACAGGGGCACCGCAUGGUGAUAUUUGUUAAAGAAAUUCGCUGAUAGAUGGGCAUGCGUUCCAUUAGGUAGUUGGUGAGGUAACGGCUCACCAAGCCGACGAUGGAUAGGGGAACUGAGAGGUUGGUCCCCCACACUGGUACUGAGACACGGACCAGACUCCUACGGGAGGCAGCAGUGAGGAAUAUUGGUCAAUGGGCGGGAGCCUGAACCAGCCAAGUCCGCGUGAAGGAAGAAGGAUCUAUGGUUCGUAAACUUCUUUUGCAGGGGAAUAAAGUACAGGACGUGUCCUGUUUUGUAUGUACCCUGAGAAUAAGGAUCGGCUAACUCCGUGCCAGCCGCCGC